rnacentral:rRNA from 1 species
UACGGAGGGUGCAAGCGUUGUCCGGAUUUACUGGGCGUAAAGAGCGCGCAGGCGGUCGUUCAAGUCGCGUGUGAAAGCCCCCCGGCUCAACUGGGGAGGGUCACGCGAUACUGAUCGACUGGAAGGCAGGAGAGGGUAGUGGAAUUCCCGGUGUAGUGGUGAAAUGCGUAGAUAUCGGGAGGAACACCAGUGGCGAAGGCGACUACCUGGCCUGUUCUUGACGCUGAGGCGCGAAAGCUAGGGGAGCAAACGGG